UACAGAGGCUGCGAGCGUUAUUCGGAUUCACUGGGCGUAAAGGGUGCGCAGGUGGCUAAGUGUGUUAGGCGUGAAAGCCCGGGGCUUAACCCCGGAAUUGCACCUAAAACUACUUGGCUAGAGCAUUGGAGAGGGGAGCAGAAUUCAUGGUGUAGCAGUGAAAUGCGUAGAUAUCAUGAGGAAUACCAGAGGCGAAGGCGGCUCCCUGGACAAUUGCUGACACUCAGGCACGAAAGCGUGGGGAGCAAAAGGG
rnacentral:rRNA from 1 species